AAUAGCGCAGUUUGGUAGCGCAUCUGGUUUGGGACCAGAGGGUCGGGGGUUCGAAUCCCUCUU
rnacentral:tRNA from 1 species